AGGCAGCAGUGGGGAAUAUUGCACAAUGGGCGAAAGCCUGAUGCAGCCAUGCCGCGUGUGUGAAGAAGGCCUUCGGGUUGUAAAGCACUUUCAGUAGGGAGGAAAGGCAGUAGUUUAAUAAACUGCUGCUGUGACGUUACCUACAGAAGAAGGACCGGCUAACUCCGUGCCAGCAGCCGCGGUAAUACGGAGGGUCCGAGCGUUAAUCGGAAUUACUGGGCGUAAAGCGUGCGCAGGCGGUUUUUUAAGCCAGAUGUGAAAGCCCUGGGCUCAACCUAGGAAUUGCAUUUGGAACUGGGGAACUAGAGUCUUGUAGAGGGAGGUAGAAUUUCAGGUGUAGCGGUGAAAUGCGUAGAUAUCUGAAGGAAUACCGGUGGCGAAGGCGGCCUCCUGGACAAAGACUGACGCUCAUGCACGAAAGCGUGGGGAGCAAACAGGAUUAGAUACCCUUGUAGUC
rnacentral:rRNA from 1 species